UAAUGAAAUGUUUUAUUAAACAGAACAACUCCUCCCUGCCCCAGAAGACCUUGAUCGCGUCAAGGUCCUCUGGUAUGAGGAGAACAGAAUAUCAAUGGGUUUGUUUACACAAUUCCUCAUUUGGGUAUUUCUACAUAGGGGAGCUGAGCACCACACAUCAAAGCCCCUUUGUGUGGGUCGUUGCAGUAGAGUUGUAUCUCAAACAGACCUGCAGAAAAGACAUGAAAGGAGCACUGGCUCAAUGGCUGCUCCUAUAUUACCAUCUGCUUAUUACUUCACUGUGUGAAGAAACGCUGCAGAGAAAUUUAAGGACUACACUGUCACCAAAGGAACUACACAGCUUGCCACAAUGUUAGACAAAAGGCAGACACCCUCAGUGUAUAAUGUAUAACAUGACGAACAAGAAGGGGAAUAUUUUGUCUUGUCAUUUUCAGAUCAGGGAUUUGAUUUUGCUAUUCGAAGUAGCAACCCUCAAAUUGCAGGCCUGCCUUUCUAACCUCUAGGCUACCACUAUGCAAUCUGUCUUGUUUCAUUUCAAGGGUGUCAAUCAAUAUGAGGCGCAAAUACAGAGUAGAUGAACCAUCUGGUGUUUAGGGAAGAAGAGAGAUACAACGUUAAUUAACCUGGGAUCUAAAUUCAUGUUCCAAAGAUAGAAAAAUAACAACAUUAAAAACAAAAACAGAGUUCGGUCAAUUGAUGGAACCUACUACAUGUGCCCGUGAUUGCUUAGAAAUUGAUAAUUUGGUCCAGAGCCUGAUUGCAUGUCUUCUCAUCGGUCAAACCUCCUAAGCAACAAUGAACAACAUAGAGAGGGAGAGAUCGAGAGCGAGAGAGCAAGCAUAAUGUAUAAUUGCCACAAUCACCCAUCCUUGCAAAAUGAAACAUCAACCCACCAACUCGUUGGCCUCUGAACAAUACCUUCUCUCUCCCAUCUUACCCCAAGCAAGCUUCGUUUUCUGUUUCCCUACAGGUUCCUUGUUGCAGUGAUGAUUUAUGGGGCCAGGAAGACACCAAAUGUAUUUUCAUCCCCAUUUGGUAGAGAGACACUUUCCAGAAACAAUUAUGCUUCUGGGGCUCAUUACAAGAAAAUAGUGUUUGUAUUGGUACUGGUACAUGUGCUUUACUCGUGGCAACAGAUGAUGUGAUAAAGGCCAAAUACAUCAGUCAUGCACAGUAAUGAUGUAAGUCUAUAACCCCAAGCAUCUUAACCUUUAUAACUUUACCCCAUUGCUCUUUGACAUUUCAGGAAUGUAGGGAAAGUAAUGACAUAUAUGCACUAUAAGAACUGAAUUGUUUUCUUUCCUUACCAGAUGUUUAUUAGGCUAUAGAAUUCCUAAUAUAAGAGAACCGAGAACAAAAUACCGAAAGAGUAACACAUCCUUUAUAUUCUAUCCGAUAACCCACCACUACAUAAUUCCCUAUUCAGUUCCAGUUAAAAUCACAAUGAAGUUAAAAAAUAUAUUAUCCGCAAAUCACACUGUAGGCCCAAUUAAAUAAGUAACCGAGUACAAUCACUAGACUAGAUGACAUUGAGCGAUAGACUGGAUAUGAAACUGAAAUACUGCGGCGUAGAGACGGUUAAUUUUUAGUACUACCUGGCAGCUUUAGGACCCAGUGUAGGCUAAUGUGAUAUCACGAGGGUUCCGCGAAACUUCCGGGAACGCUUGCGAAUCAAACUUGGCCACUGGGUCUCUGCAGACAGACUCAGCUCAAUGGGCAGACCAGUCCGGAGUAUAAUUUUCUCAAAAUCUAAAGGCACAACCGAGAUUCGAGACAAUUUCUUAAGUAGCUGAACAUGUUUUUACUGCAACCUUGUGAAAGCGAUAAACUGAAAGGAUUUCAUUUUCGUGAAAAAAACUUUAUAUCAAAGGAUUGCCUUCGAUUUGUCGGUCUGCACAUACGCAGUUCUGCGCGAGACGAUCGUUAGACCCGAUGACGAGUUUCUGCGCAUGAUCUUAGCUAGCCAACGUUACCAUGACGUCACAUACAAGCGUGAUCGGGGAUGUUGUAUUGGAGAAGCAGUUUCUGUCUAUCCUCCUACUGUAUCGUCUUUGCUAUUAUUAUGCUGGGAAAGUGGAAGCUUAUUUUCCCUCUAGCAUAAUCAUGUUGUAUCCUAGUCGACAAAGCCUAAUUCUGUAUUUUCUAUCCUUUGGCGCGUUUGUGAACGGGAACGGACAACUAGGUGACUCUAAACUAAACGAAAGGCCGUAUGUAGUCCUACAGAAUCAAAAUUUGGUUGUACUUAUUAGCGUCUUAUCUAUCCUGCUGGUGGUGAUGAUUGUCAUGGCAGUUUGUGUGUAUAAACCAUUGCAUCGCCGGUGAAGCAGUGUACAGCAACGUCAUGCCUACUGUCGGACUGGAUCCAAGGGAAUCAACAAUCAAGGGAAUCAACAAUAAAAAAAAAAACAUUGUCUACACAUAUCUGUCUGAUAAACUGGAAUGUUAGACAAUAGGCACUGGGUCCCUCAUUUUUAUAUAAACCUUAUUCAUCUUAGUUUUUCCCCCUCCAGUAUAGACUACACUGGUUGAAUUAAUGUUGUUUCCAAGUGAAAUAGAUGUUGAUGUCUGUGCCCAGUGGGAUGUUAUUGUGUUUAAAAAAAAAAAACUUUAUUUAACUAGGCAAGUCAAUUAAGAACAAAUUCUUAUUUUCAAUGACGCCUAGGAAUAGAACGACAGAUUUUUUACCUUGUCAGCUCGGGGAUUCGAGCUUGCAACCUUUCGGUUACUAGUCCAACGCUCUAACCACUAGGCUACCUGCCACCCGUGUGUCUUGAUUAGGCCAUAUAAAAUGUUAAUUGAUAUGAUUAUUUUAUAUUUUUUGUGAAGGUAACAAUAUUCCUGCUGCUGUCAUCAUUUAAUGGAAUUUUUAUGUAUUGUUUAUAUUUGUCUAAUAUUAUUUAUAUUUUUGCUUAUUUACCCUGAUAUAUUGGAGUAUUAUUAAAAUGCCCCACCACAAGGUACUACUGAAGUAAAAAAAAAAAAAUGAUAAAAAAAACGAACAUACA